GCAAGUCGAACGGUAACAGGUAUUAGCUUGCUAAUUUGCUGACGAGUGGCGCACGGGUGCGUAACGCGUAUACAAUCUACCUUUUGCUGAGGGAUAGCCGAGAGAAAUUUGGAUUAAUACCUUAUGGUAUUAUUGAUAGGCAUCUAUUAAUAAUUAAAGGUUACGGCAAAAGAUGAGUAUGCGUCCCAUUAGCUAGUUGGCGAGGUAACGGCUCACCAAGUCAACGAUGGGUAGGGGUCCUGAGAGGGAGAUC
rnacentral:rRNA from 1 species